AACGCUGGCGGCGUGCCUAAUACAUGCAAGUAGAACGCUGAAGGAGGAGCUUGCUUCUCUGGAUGAGUUGCGAACGGGUGAGUAACGCGUAGGUAACCUGCCUGGUAGCGGGGGAUAACUAUUGGAAACGAUAGCUAAUACCGCAUAAUAGUAGAUGUUGCAUGACAUUUGCUUAAAAGGUGCAAUUGCAUCACUACCAGAUGGACCUGCGUUGUAUUAGCUAGUUGGUGAGGUAACGGCUCACCAAGGCGACGAUACAUAGCCGACCUGAGAGGGUGAUCGGCCACACUGGGACUGAGACACGGCCCAGACUCCUACGGGAGGCAGCAGUAGGGAAUCUUCGGCAAUGGACGGAAGUCUGACCGAGCAACGCCGCGUGAGUGAAGAAGGUUUUCGGAUCGUAAAGCUCUGUUGUAAGAGAAGAACGAGUGUGAGAGUGGAAAGUUCACACUGUGACGGUAUCUUACCAGAAAGGGACGGCUAACUACGUG
rnacentral:rRNA from 1 species